CAGAGGGUGCAAGCGUUAAUCGGAAUUACUGGGCGUAAAGGGCUUGUAGGCGGUUAAUUAAGUUAGAUGUGAAAUACCUGGGCUUAACCUGGGAAUGGCAUUUAAUACUGAUUAGCUAGAGUAUGGUAGAGGAAAGGGGAAUUUCCGGUGUAGCAGUGAAAUGCGUAGAUAUCGGAAGGAACAUCAGUGGCGAAGGCGCCUUUCUGGACUAAUACUGACGCUGAGGAGCGAAGGCGUGGGGAGCAAACAGGAUUAGAUACCCUGGUAGUCCACGCGGUAAACGAUGAGUACUAGCCGCUGGAGCAUUAGCUUAAGUGGCGAAGUUAACACGAUAAGUACUCCGCCUGGGAAGUACGGUCGCAAGAUUA
rnacentral:rRNA from 1 species